AACUCUGAGUUCUGAUGCUGCCUAUCAUUUGCUUUUCCUCAUGAGCUCCUGGACCACCUCAUAUCACCAGCACCCUCUACCCAAGGUCCUGGAGCCAACACUGGAGUAAAAGAGCACAAGAGAGCUCCUUAGAGGUGGAAGGGUAUUGUACAGCACUGCCUAUGAGGCAUGGAGGAGUCUCACAUGAAGGCCGCCUGCAUCCUGGGGGAGUUCCUGAAGCUGCUGCCCACGUUUCUCACAGGGAGGCCAGGGAAGAUCAGCCCCAUUCUGUACACAGGCAAGCCAUGAACUGAGGACAUCCCUUUCAGGCCUUCCCAAUGGGGCAGGAUGGAAGUAGGAGCCCCACUAGUCUCCCCUUAACCUGGAAUCCCCCACUAUCCACAGCUCGCUCAUUGGAGGGGACACACUGGGCACCCAGGC